GAUGAACGCUGGCGGCGUGCCUAAUACAUGCAAGUCGAGCGAACAGAUGAGGAGCUUGCUCCUCUGACGUUAGCGGCGGACGGGUGAGUAACACGUGGAUAACCUACCUAUCAGACUGGGAUAACUUCGGGAAACCGGCGCUAAUACCGGAUAAUAUAUUGCACCGCAUGGUUCAAUAGUGAAAGACGGUUUUGCUGUCACUUAUAGAUGGAUCCGCGCCGCAUUAGCUAGUUGGUAAGGUAACGGCUUACCAAGGCAACGAUGCGUAGCCGACCUGAGAGGGUGAUCGGCCACACUGGAACUGAGACACGGUCCAGACUCCUACGGGAGGCAGCAGUAGGGAAUCUUCCGCAGUGGUCGAAAGCCUGACGGAGCAACGCCGCGUGAGUGAUGAAGGUCUUCGGAUCGUAAAACUCUGUUAUUAGUGAAGAACAAAUGUGUAAGUAACUAUGCACGUCUUGACGGUACCUAAUCAGAAAGCCACGGCUAACUACGUG
rnacentral:rRNA from 1 species